rnacentral:lncRNA from 1 species
GGAGAUGUGAAAUUGCAUUGCCACAGAUAACACUGGACGUGUAUGUGACAGUGACCACAAUGGAGCAAGAUGGCGUUUCGUCUCAGGAGCUGAUCACUCCAACCACUUGGCUAGGAGAAGGAAUUAUGCAGCUGGAUCCUGACAGGGAACAGUGGACUCCUGUUACAAAGAUAGAAUCAUCUCUGUGUUACUUACUGACUAUAAGAGUCAUAAGAGCAAGAAAUAUCCA